GACGAACGCUGGCGGCGUGCCUAAUACAUGCAAGUCGAACGGGGUUGCACGGCGGAAGCCUUCGGGUGGAAGCUGUGUAGCCUAGUGGCGGACGGGUGAGUAACGCGUGGGCAACCUGCCCUCCAGCCCGGGAUAACUUCCGGAAACGGGAGCUAAUCCCGGAUGCGGAGCAAAGGACGCAUGUUUUUUGCUCGAAAGCUUCGGCGCUGGAGGAUGGGCCCGCGUCCCAUUAGCUAGUUGGUGAGGUAACGGCUCACCAAGGCGACGAUGGGUAGCCGGCCUGAGAGGGUGAUCGGCCACACUGGGACUGAGACACGGCCCAGACUCCUACGGGAGGCAGCAGUAGGGAAUCUUGCGCAAUGGGCGAAAGCCUGACGCAGCGACGCCGCGUGAGGGAAGAAGGCCUUCGGGUCGUAAACCUCUGUCCUUGGGGACGAUGAUGACGGUACCCAAGGAGGAAGCCCCGGCUAACUACGUGCCAGCAGCCGCGGUAAUACGUAGGGGGCGAGCGUUGUCCGGAAUCACUGGGCGUAAAGGGUGCGUAGGCGGCUUGGCAAGUCCUGUGUGAAAGGUCGCGGCUCAACCGCGGUGGGUCAUGGGAAACUGCCAAGCUCGAGUGCCGGAGAGGAUAGCGGAAUUCCCGGUGUAGCGGUGAAAUGCGUAGAGAUCGGGAGGAACACCAGUGGCGAAGGCGGCUAUCUGGAAGGUCACUGACGCUGAGGCACGACAGCUGGGGGAGCAAACAGGAUUAGAUACCCUGGUAGUCCCAGCCGUAAACGAUGAGUGCUAGGUGUUGCGGGUAUCGACCCCUGCAGUGCCGAAGUCAACACAAUAAGCACUCCGCCUGGGGAGUACGGCCGCAAGGCUAA
rnacentral:rRNA from 1 species